rnacentral:rRNA from 1 species
GAUCAUGGCUCAGAUUGAACGCUGGCGGCGUGCUUAACACAUGCAAGUCGCGCGUGAAAGGACUUCGGUCCGAGUAAAGCGGCGCACGGGUGAGUAACGCGUGGAUGAUCUACCCAUGAGUUGGGAAUAACGGCUGGAAACGGUCGCUAAUACCGAAUACGCUCCGAUUUCAUCUUCGGGGGAAAGGUGGCCUCUGCUUGCAAGCUACUGCUCAUGGAUGAGUCCGCGUCCCAUUAGCUAGUUGGUGGGGUAACGGCCCACCAAGGCGACGAUGGGUAGCCGGUCUGAGAGGAUGACCGGCCACACUGGGACUGGAACACGGCCCAGACUCCUACGGGAGGCAGCAGUGGGGAAUAUUGCGCAAUGGGCGAAAGCCUGACGCAGCGACGCCGCGUGAAGGGAUGAAGGUCCUCGGGUCGUAAACCUCUGUCAGGAGGGAAGAACCGCCACGGUGCUAAUCAGCCGUGGUCUGACGGUACCUCCAAAGGAAGCACCGGCUAACUCCGUGCCAGCCGCCGC